CGUAGAUGUCGAGGUCGACCUGUUGCUGACAAUGGAUAAUUAACGAACUACGGAUCACUCUUUAAAAAGCAAUCGAGAACAUAAAAGUGUUCAACUAUAUAUGUAUAUACGUAGUAUUUGUAUCAGUAUUAGUAGCUUCUAUCAGCUUACACGGGACGUUCAAACAAUUCCAAUAACGAGUUACGUUACGAGAAACUCAUAAGCGAUCAUAAAACGAUCGUUCAAUUUUAAUAGUCUUCGCAAACGUAACAUAGAGAAAUGAUGAAGCCAAACGUUGUUAUAGAAGAGUCACCGAGAAUGGUUGUUGAACGUCGCUUAGAUGAUAUAACAAAGAGAAAAAAAAAAAAAAGAGGAAAAGGAAAAAGAAGAAAGUGGAAAAAAAUGAAAUGUCUCGUAACCAUGGAUUCUCCAUGGUUCAGAGUAUUACCACAGUCUGCGGUUCGCCAUGACCGAUAACA